AGGGCACCACCAGGAGUGGAGCCUGCGGCUUAAUUUGACUCAACACGGGGAAACUUACCCGGCCCGGACACUGGAAGGAUUGACAGAUUGAGAGCUCUUUCUUGAUUCAGUGGGUGGUGGUGCAUGGCCGUUCUUAGUUGGUGGAGCGAUUUGUCUGGUUAAUUCCGAUAACGAACGAGACUCUAGCCUAUUAAAUAGGCUCCCGGCUUUUAAACGCCGGGAGGACUUCUUAGAGGGACAGGUGGCGGUUCAGCCGCACGAAAGAGAGCAAUAACAGGUCUGUGAUGCCCUUUGAUGUCCGGGGCCGCACGCGCGCUACACUGAAGAGAUCAGCGUGCUUUAUGUUCCUGCUCCGACCGGAGUGGGGAACCCAGUGAAACUUCUUCGUGAUUGGGAUAGAACAUUGUAAUUAUUGUUCUUGAACGAGGAAUUCCCAGUAAAUGCGAGUCAUAAGCUCGCGUUGAUUACGUCCCUGCCCUUUUGUACACACCGCCCGUCGCUACCCGGAACUGAGCAGUU
rnacentral:rRNA from 1 species